CUGCCUGGUAGUGGGGGAUAACGUCUGGAAACGGAGCCUAAUACCGCAUACGUCCUACGGGAGAAAGUGGGGGACCUUCGGACCUUGCGCUAUCAGAUGAGCCUAGGUCGGAUUAGCUAGUUGGUGGGGUAAUGGCUCACCAAGGCGACGAUCCGUAACUGGUCUGAGAGGAUGAUCAGUCACACUGGAACUGAGACACGGUCCAGACUCCUACGGGAGGCAGCAGUGGGGAAUAUUGGACAAUGGGCGAAAGCCUGAUCCAGCCAUGCCGCGUGUGUGAAGAAGGUCUUCGGAUUGUAAAGCACUUUAAGUUGGGAGGAAGGGUUGUAGAUUAAUACUCUGCAAUUUUGACGUUACCGACAGAAUAAGCACCGGCUAACUCUGUGCCAGCAGCCGCGGUAAUACCGAGGGUGCAAGCGUUAAUCGGAAUUACUGGGCGUAAAGCGCGCGUAGGUGGUUUGUUAAGUUGGAUGUGAAAUCCCCGGGCUCAACCUGGGAACUGCAUUCAAAACUGACUGACUAGAGUAUGGUAGAGGGUGGUGGAAUUUCCU
rnacentral:rRNA from 1 species